UUAGUGUUUGAUAACAGAAAAUUGCUUUCUAGAAUUGAAAAAGUAAGUUCAUAUCAAAACUGCCCCCGAUAAAAUUGUGCCCUAGGGUUUACUCAGCCGCUCACCCACCCCUGUCUUUGCAAUCCACUGCAAAAGUUCUCUUUCUCUCUCUCUCUCUCUCUUCUCCAGUAAAAGCAGCCUCUCGUCCAGUACUAUUCGUGGCCUUGCAACCUCAACAAAUACUUCCAAUCAAUUGUUUUGGUAAUGGUGUAAGGCUGGAUCUCCUUAGUCUUCACCAAUCUGGACCCUUUAUGGGCUUUGAACACCACCACUCUGAUCCCAAACCUAUCAGACUAUGAGACCACCAUCCCCAACUUCUUCGAGUUCUGUGAUACCAAGCACAGGGACUAUUGUCCAUGCCAUGACACCAAGAGAGAAAAGAAAUUUGACACCCAUAUGUUAUUUUUCAAAGACUAUUCACAUCAAAUGAGUGUUAUUGGUUUUAGUUUUGUAGGACUUCUGUCAAGAAACUUUAGUUUCUGGCAAUGGUCAUAGUCAAAUUUGGAAAUUGGAAGGUGGUUUCGGGUUCAUAAUAAAUGAAGAUUUUGUUUCAGUGCUCUUAUUGAACACUAAUUUCCGAAGUGAUCAACUUUACUUUCAUGGCUAAUUAAAAUGUUUGUCGUUUUUUCUGUAUUUCUGUUUAACUAAUCCAUGUCACAUCCUUUUUUGAGAAAUUGCUCGGAUUUUGUUUGGAUGGCAAUUCAAUUCAUUCAUUAACCUUUUCAAUGCCCUUUAGAAAAUUAUUGAUGAGUUAUUGAGAAUAUUAUGCUCUCUUUUGUUAUGCUUUAUUUAUGGUUCAAUAGUACAGGGUGGUUAUAUUUCUGGUUGAGCAUGUGCAUUUCCAAUAUUGUCUUUUAUGCAUCCUUGGGGAACUUUUGUGUGCUAAAUGCUAAAAAGUUCAACAUGUUGAAUUGUGAUCAAUGCAUUCUUAUUCUGAUCUUUGAAUUGUGGUCAAAUGCUAAACAAUUAUGCAUUCUCGCUGUUGUAGAACUUGGUUACUGGAUUGUACUUUGAGCUUCCAAUGAUUACUAAAAUUCAUUGUGGUACUUUGUUCACGAUUAUUGAUUCUCUUCCAUAGUUCUCUUUUGAUUCUCAUUAGUCACGAUUCAUGAUUCUAAUUAGUCAGAAUUCAUGAUUUUCUGAAAACCUGUGAAGUUUAGUUGCUAUUGCUUACUAGCUUGCUUGUUUUCAUUCCUGAAUUUGUUCUUCACUCAAUGGUUUCAUGUGUUCCAAGUAUUUAUUGAAAUUGCUUUGCUAUUUUUUUUUUUGAAAUUGCUUUGAUAUAUAACUAUGAUGUGGGCUCAUGAAAUCUAAUAUAUUUUUUCUAUGAUACACAACUAUGACGUGGGUUUGUAAAUAAAAUGCUGAACCUUACUGGAAUUAAGAAUAAUCUUACUUACCUUUUUGUUAUUUUUUAUUUUUGGGUUUGUUCAGUGUUACUUAGCUCCAAUAAUGAAUGUUGUAGUUACCAUGCUCCUUUUGUUACCUUUCUAUUUUUAAUGAAUAAUGCUUAUGGGUUCAUGAA